rnacentral:rRNA from 1 species
UACGGAGGGUGCAAGCGUUAUCCGGAUUCACUGGGUUUAAAGGGUGCGUAGGUGGGCAGGUAAGUCAGUGGUGAAAUCUCCGGGCUUAACCCGGAAACUGCCGUUGAUACUAUUUGUCUUGAAUAUUGUGGAGGUGAGCGGAAUAUGUCAUGUAGCGGUGAAAUGCUUAGAUAUGACAUAGAACACCAAUUGCGAAGGCAGCUUACUACACAAUGAUUGACACUGAGGCACGAAAGCGUGGGGAUCAAACAGG